rnacentral:rRNA from 1 species
UAAUACAGAGGGUGCAAGCGUUGUUCGGAAUUAUUGGGCGUAAAGCGCGUGUAGGCGGUGAUGUAUGUCGGGUGUGAAAGCCCUCAGCUUAACUGAGGAAGUGCGCCCGAAACUACAUCGCUAGAGUGCCGGAGAGGGUGGCGGAAUUCCCGGUGUAGAGGUGAAAUUCGUAGAUAUCGGGAGGAACACCAGUGGCGAAGGCGGCCACCUGGACGGACACUGACGCUGAGACGCGAAAGCGUGGGUAGCAAACAGGAUUAGAUACCCUGGUAGUCCACGCUGUAAACGAUGGGAACUAGGUGUGGUGGGUGUUGACCCCUACCGUGCCGUAGCUAACGCAUUAAGUUCCCCGCCUGGGAAGUACGGCCGCAAGGUUA